rnacentral:lncRNA from 1 species
UGACAUCUAUCAAAAAUCAUCUCACAUCCAAGCUAUGUUGCAAGCAUGUGCUACAACCUUAGGCAUUCGGCAGUGCACUGAUGCAGAUGAAGGCCCAUCUUAUGGCAGUGAGAAUGUUUCAGCUGAAAGCGAGGAUUUCUACAUUGAAAAUCACGCAAGUGCUCAUCCUUCAAAUUUAGAUGCUAAGAUUGAAAAUGCACCAGCUUAAAAAAUCUGGUUAAGAAGACUGAAGGCUCUAUAGAAAUAAUUUUAAAGGAAUUUCUAAUUGCUGAAAGCAACACCAAUUAAGACCUAUAACUGGAUCAAAGCACGUUGAAGAUAUGAUCCUUGCUAAUUCUGCAGUUUCCUUGGUAAACACUAUCAAUCAAGUUAUCAAAAGAUUCAUAGUUACCAAUUGUCGGGCACCACAACAAAUGAUUAAUGAAGUGAUAGGGAGAAUGUUCUACAUAGGCCUCUAUCAUCCAAUGUUCAAGACUCAGAAUGGUCGAUCAAAAUUUUAAGGGAUAUGAUCUUGAGGACCAGGUAAGCAUAACAGAAGCAAAUGAUGCUGGAGCAUUUCUUUGCAUCCAUAUCCAUGGCAUAUGUCGUGACUGGUUGCUAUUUAGAGGUCAAGAUGACAAAAAAAGACAACUAUUUUGAAUUGUUUUAGUAUUUAAUAAUUAAUUGAAGUGUUUCUUUGUAAGAAAACGAAUCUACUGUUUGGCACUGUACAUGCUACAAUACUGUCAAAAGUGAAUAGCAUACAUGACUUUUCAUUUAGGAGUUUUAGUUAGGUCUCCUUAGUGUCCAGCUAGAAAAUCUUAGAUAAAAUUUAAAGCAUGGUUCUGGGGAUUUUAAUUGGAGUUAAAUGAAUAGGUGGUAGCUGAUUUCUCUAGGUACUUUCCAAUUUGAAGAAUCCUAGUUUGCUUGUAAGAGAGGUCACUGGAUGAAAGCAUUGUAUGUGGCUGUUGAAAGAAAGAAAGGAUUUCUCUGCCUUUCUUUCCAUCUUUAUUUUUUUCUCUGUCCGUCAUGUUUUUGGAUUAAAAAUUAAGUUCCAAGACUGAUGCUCUCCCCAGCAUAUCAGAUAUGAGAAGAAGGUUUUGACCACAAGCAUGAUGAUAUGACAUCUAUCAAAAAUCAUCUCACAUCCAAGCUAUGUUGCAAGCAUGUGCUACAACCUUAGGCAUUCGGCAGUGCACUGAUGCAGAUGAAGGCCC